rnacentral:rRNA from 1 species
GAUGAACGCUAGCGGCAGGCCUAAUACAUGCAAGUCGAGGGGCAGCGCAGUGUAGCAAUACAUGGGCGGCGACCGGCAAACGGGUGCGGAACACGUACAGAACCUUCCUUCGAGCGGGGAAUAGCCCAGAGAAAUUUGGAUUAAUACCCCAUAGUAUUACUGGAUGGCAUCAUUUAGUAAUUAAAGAUUUAUCACUUGAAGAUGGCUGUGCGUAUGAUUAGGUAGUUGGCGGGGUAACGGCCCACCAAGCCUACGAUCAUUAACUGGUUUGAGAGCACGACCAGUCACACGGGCACUGAGACACGGGCCCGACUCCUACGGGAGGCAGCAGUAAGGAAUAUUGGUCAAUGGACGCAAGUCUGAACCAGCCAUGCCGCGUGGAGGAUGAAGGUCCUCUGGAUUGUAAACUUCUUUUAUCUGGGACGAAAAAAGGCCUUUCUAGGUCGACUGACGGUACCAGAUGAAUAAGCACCGGCUAACUCCGUGCCAGCCGCCGCCGUAAAAC